rnacentral:rRNA from 1 species
CGGGUGAGUAAUGUCUGGGAAACUGCCUGAUGGGAGGGGGAUAACUACUGGAAACGGUAGCUAAUACCGCAUAACGUCGCAAGACCAAAGAGGGGGACCUUCGGGCCUCUUGCCAUCAGAUGUGCCCAGAUGGGAUUAGCUAGUAGGUGGGGUAACGGGCUCACCUAGGCGACGAUCCCUAGCUGGUCUGAGAGGAUGACCAGCCACACUGGAACUGAGACACGGUCCAGACUCCUACGGGAGGCAGCAUG